UGGGGAAUUUUGGACAAUGGGCGCAAGCCUGAUCCAGCCAUGCCGCGUGAGUGAAGAAGGCCUUCGGGUUGUAAAGCUCUUUCGGCCGGGAAGAAAUCGCACAGGCUAAUACCUUGUGUGGAUGACGGUACCGGAAUAAGAAGCACCAGCUAACUACGUGCCAGCAGCCGCGGUAAUACGUAGGGUGCGAGCGUUAAUCGGAAUUACUGGACGUAAAGCGUGCGCAGGCGGUUGUGUAAGACAGGCGUGAAAUCCCCGGGCUCAACCUGGGAACUGCGCUUGUGACUGCACGGCUAGAGUACGGCAGAGGGGGGUGGAAUUCCACGUGUAGCAGUGAAAUGCGUAGAGAUGUGGAGGAACACCGAUGGCGAAGGCAGCCCCCUGGGCCGAUACUGACGCUCAUGCACGAAAGCGUGGGUAGCAAACAG
rnacentral:rRNA from 1 species